CCCUUAUAUGUUCUGGGCCGCACGCGCGCUACACUGUUCGACGCAGCGAGUCUUAACCUUGACCGAAAGGUUUGGGUAAUCUUCAGCAAAGUCGAACGUGAUGGGGAUCGAUCAUUGCAAUUAUUGAUCGUGAACGAGGAAUUCCUAGUAAGUGCAAGUCAUCAGCUUGCGCUGAUUACGUCCCUGCCCUUUGUACACACCGCCCGUCGCUACUACCGAUUGAAUGGUUUAGUGAGAUCUCUGGAUUGACGCUGGCUAGGGGGCGACCCUUGGCCAGGCUGUCGAGAAACUGCUCAAACUUGAUCAUUUAGAGGAAGUAAAAGUCGUAACA
rnacentral:rRNA from 1 species